CAGCCGCCGCGGUAAUACGUAGGUGGCAAGCGUUGUCCGGAAUUAUUGGGCGUAAAGGGCUCGCAGGCGGUUUCUUAAGUCUGAUGUGAAAGCCCCCGGCUCAACCGGGGAGGGUCAUUGGAAACCGGGAAACUUGAGUGCAGAAGAGGAGAGUGGAAUUCCACGUGUAGCGGUGAAAUGCGUAGAGAUGUGGAGGAACACCAGUGGCGAAGGCGACUCUCUGGUCUGUAACUGACGCUGAGGGGCGAAAGCGUGGGGAGCAAACAGGAUUAGAUACCCCUGUAGUCCCUGUCUCUUAUAC
rnacentral:rRNA from 1 species